rnacentral:rRNA from 1 species
AUUGAACGCUGGCGGCAUGCUUUACACAUGCAAGUCGAACGGCAGCGCGGGCUUCGGCCUGGCGGCGAGUGGCGAACGGGUGAGUAAUGCAUCGGAACGUGCCCAGUAGUGGGGGAUAGCCCGGCGAAAGCCGGAUUAAUACCGCAUACGACCUGAGGGUGAAAGCGGGGGACCGAAAGGCCUCGCGCUAUUGGAGCGGCCGAUGUCGGAUUAGCUAGUUGGUGGGGUAAAGGCUUACCAAGGCGACGAUCCGUAGCUGGUCUGAGAGGACGACCAGCCACACUGGGACUGAGACACGGCCCAGACUCCUACGGGAGGCAGCAGGGGGGAAUUUUGGACAAUGGGGGCAACCCUGAUCCAGCCAUGCCGCGUGCGGGAAGAAGGCCUUCGGGUUGUAAACCGCUUUUGUUCGGGAAGAAAUCCUCUGGGCUAAUACCCCGGGGGGAUGACGGUACCGGAAGAAUAAGCACCGGCUAACUACGU